GAUGAACGCUGGCGGCGUGCUUAACACAUGCAAGUCGAGCGGACAGACCAUGCGCUUGCUGGUCUGACGUGAGCGGCGGAGGGGAGAGUAACAUGUGUAUACCCCCCCUGUAAUUCUGGGAUAACUACGGGAAACCGGAUCUAACACCGUAUAAUAUAUUGAACCGCGUUGGUCAAUAGUAAAAUUCGGUGUUGCUGUCAGUUAUAGAUGGUUCCGCGCUGCUUUAGGUGGUUGGUGAGGUAACGGCUUAUGAAGGCGACGAUGCGUAGGCGAACUCAGAGGGGGAUAGGCCACACUGGAGGUGAGACACGGUCACGAGUCCUACGGGAGGCCCCAGUAGCGAAUCUUAGGCAAUGGGCGAGAGCCUGACGGAGCAGCGCGGAGUGAGUGACGAAGGUCUUCGGAUCGUAAAACUCUCUUAUUAGGGAAGAACAGCUGUGUAAUUAAAUAUGCACGUAUUGACGGUAACUAAUAAGAAAGCCCCGGCUAACUACGUG
rnacentral:rRNA from 1 species